UGACCUCGUGAUCCACCUGCCUCGGCCUCCCAAAGUGCUGGGAUUACAGGUGUGACCCACCAUGCCAGGCCACAAAAUAGGUUUAAUAGUAUCAGCAAAAAAUUAUUUUUAUAAAUUAUAGAGUUUCUGCAAUGAAAAACAAAAGACAUAGAAAAUAGAAAUUCGUGUUUAUUCAACUGUUUUUCAUUUUCAGGUAUAUCAUUAUAUAACAGUCAUUUGAACUCAUUUUCCUGUAGUUUUCCAAAUGCAAGAUGACAUAUGAGGUAAAAGCAGUAGGAGGAAGACAUAAAACGAGAGUGGAAAUAUGUGGUACAUCCUACAUAGCCUACAUCCCUAUGCUAAGGCUGAACAUUAAGUAUACCUGGACACAAAGAAGAGAACAAUAGACAUUGGGAUCUACUUGAAGGUGGAGGAUGGGAGCAGGAUGAACUUUGAAAAGCUGCCUCCUGAAUAUUGUGCUCAUUACCUGUGUGAUGAAAUAAUCUGUACACAAAAUCCCUAUGAAAUGUAAUUUAUCCAUGUAACAAACCUGCAUAUGAACUGAAAAUGAAAAUAAAAGGAAAAAAAAACAAACAAAGGAAAAAGCUGGUGGUGUAUCUAGAUCAACUAGACUCUAAGGAGCGAUUUGUGUUCUCAGUCUUGGCAGAGCUAUUUAUUAAGGGAUGAUACAAGUAUGAACGAUGAGACUCUAAGCUAUAUAAAGAUGUAAUACAAUUUUAAAAACUUCUUCAAUUUUUCAUGCAAAACAAAUCUAAUUUUUUUCUAUGACAGUAGAUAAUAUGGUAAAGUCACAAUGAAGACAGUUCUGUGGGGUUAGUCAUCAUAUUUGUAUUGAUUUUAUAGAACAAUAUCUGGACUCAAAAUUUUAUCAAUUACAAUAUCUGCAAGCAUAUAAACUUAAAGAACACAUACAAGGCGUAUUUUAAUUACAUAUUCUGAUUGCAUCUAGCUCUUCAGGUAGAAUGAAAGUCCAAAGAGAUGAUAUGUUAUGAAUAGCCUUCACAAGAUUUUAGACAUGAGUGGGACUUCAUGUUGGCUUUUGGAAUUUCUAGAUGCCUAGAAACUGGUUUAACCUACUGCAUGCAAAAAUGAUCAAAAACACUUAGUACUUGUCUUUCUGGUUUAGAAUUUCUGAUAUUGAUAUGAUAGAGAUAGAAAAGAAAUAU
rnacentral:lncRNA from 1 species